rnacentral:tRNA from 1 species
GGGGGUGUAGCUCAGCUUGGUUAGAGCGCCUGCCUGUCACGCAGGAGGCCGCGGGUUCGAGUCCCGUCACUCCCG